UAGCGGAGCGUGUGGUUUAAUUCGACGAUACGCGAAGAACCUUACCUGGGUUUGACAUCAAGGUAGUAGCAAGGUGAAAGCUGCGCGACCCUUCGGGGAGCCUUGACAGGUGCUGCAUGGCUGUCGUCAGCUCGUGCCGUGGGAUGUUGGGUUAAGUCCCGCAACGAGCGCAACCCUCGUCGUUAGUUACAAGUGUCUAACGAGACUGCUGGUUUCAAACCGGAGGAAGGUGGGGAUGACGUCAAGUCAGCAUGGUCUUUAUAUCCAGGGCUACACACACGCUACAAUGGCCGGUACAAUUGGUUGCCACACCGCAAGGUGGAGCUAAUCCUCAAAGCCGGUCUCAGUUCAGAUUGUCGUCUGCAACUCGACGGCAUGAAGGCGGAGUUGCUAGUAACCGCAUAA
rnacentral:rRNA from 1 species